UGCAUAGCCGGCCUGAGAGGGCGGACGGCCACAUUGGGACUGAGACACGGCCCAAACUCCUACGGGAGGCAGCAGUAGGGAAUUUUCGUCAAUGGGGGGAACCCUGAACGAGCAAUGCCGCGUGAGUGAGGAAGGUCUUCGGAUCGUAAAGCUCUGUUGUAAGAGAAAAGCGGCACUCAUAGGGAAUGAUGAGUGAGUGAUGGUAUCUUACCAGAAAGUCACGGCUAACUACGUGCCAGCAGCCGCGGUAAUACGUAGGUGGCGAGCGUUAUCCGGAAUGAUUGGGCGUAAAGGGUGCGUAGGUGGCAGAUCAAGUCUGGAGUAAAAGGUAUGGGCUCAACCCGUACUGGCUCUGGAAACUGAUCAGCUAGAGAACAGAAGAGGACGGCGGAACUCCAUGUGUAGCGGUAAAAUGCGUAGAUAUAUGGAAGAACACCGGUGGCGAAGGCGGCCGUCUGGUCUGGAUUCUGACACUGAAGCACGAAAGCGUGGGGAGCAAAUAGGAUUAGAUACCCUAGUAGUCCACGCCGUAAACGAUGAGAACUAGGUGUUGGGGGAAUAACUCAGUGCCGCAGUUAACGCAGUAAGUUCUCCGCCUGGGGAGUAUGCACGCAAGUGUGAAACUCAAAGGAAUUGACGGGGGCCCGCACAAGCGGUGGAGUAUGUGGUUUAAUUCGAAGCAACGCGAAGAACCUUACCAGGCCUUGACAUCCCUUGCAGAGGUAUAGAGAUAUAUCCGAGGUUAUCAAGGAGACAGGUGGUGCAUGGUUGUCGUCAGCUCGUGUCGUGAGAUGUUGGGUUAAGUCCCGCAACGAGCGCAACCCUUGUGAUAUGUUACUAACAUUGAGUUGAGGACUCAUAUCAGACUGCCGGUGAUAAACCGGAGGAAGGUGGGGAUGACGUCAAAUCAUCAUGCCCCUUAUGGCCUGGGCUACACACGUACUACAAUGGCGUCUACAAAGAGCGGCAAGCCUGUGAAGGCAAGCGAAUCUCAUAAAGGACGUCUCAGUUCGGAUUGAAGUCUGCAACCCGACUUCAUGAAGCUGGAAUCGCUAGUAAUCGCGAAUCAGCAUGUCGCGGUGAAUACGUUCUCGGGCCUUGUACACACCGCCCGUCAAACCAUGGGAGUUGGUAAUGCCCGAAGCCGGUGGCAUAACCCUUCGGGGAGUGAGCCGUCGAAGGCAGGACCGAUGACUGGGGUUAAGUCGUAACAAGGUA
rnacentral:rRNA from 1 species